rnacentral:lncRNA from 1 species
UGUGGAGCAGUGUUGAUGAAAUUAGAGACGAAAUCAAUGAAAAUGAAUAAAACUGCCAUUAUUUGUGUUUUAUUUACAUUUUAAAUAAUAAUUUUGUAAUAAAUGAAGAACAAACCCUUCAAAAUACUUUCAAAGGCUUGAAAAAAAUCCAGAGUUUCUACAUCAGGUAUGUAUUUAUGCAUACACGUGAUGUACCAACUUUGGUGACCGUUACCAUGGAAACGAGUCUGGUGACAUACUAUUUUUAACUCAAAUUUUCAUAGAGGCCAUUGCAUAGUAUAU